rnacentral:pre_miRNA from 1 species
GUAGUAUUCUCUCCGUCCCAAAAUUCUUGUCUUACAUUUGUUUAGAUACAGAUGUAUCUAACACUAAAAUGUAACUAGAUACAUCCGUAUUUAGACAAAGUUAAGACAAGAAUUUUGGGACGGAGGGAGUACAAA